rnacentral:rRNA from 1 species
CCUACGGGUGGCAGCAGUGAGGAAUAUUGCUCAAUGGCCGAGAGGCUGAACCAGCCAAGUCGCGUGAGGGAAGACGGCCCUACGGGUUGUAAACCCCUUUUGUCGGGGAAUAAAUGUAUCCACGUGUGGAUAUUUGCAUGUACCCUAUGAAUAAGCAUCGGCUAACUCCGUGCCAGCAGCCGCGGUAAUACGGAGGAUGCGUGCGUUAUCCGGAUUUAUUGGGUUUAAGGGGUGCGUAGGUUGUUUGUUAGGUCAGCUGUGAAAGUUUGUGGCUCAACCAUAAAAUUGCCGUUGAAACUGGAAGACUUGAGUGUGGGUGAGGGAGGCGGAAUGCGUGGUGUAGCGGUGAAAUGCAUAGAUAUCACGCAGAACUCCGAUUGCGAAGGCAGCUUACUAAGCCAUAACUGACACUGAAGCACGAAAGCGUGGGGAUCAAACAGGAUUAGAUACCCCUGUAGUC